rnacentral:rRNA from 1 species
CCUACGGGAGGCAGCAGUCGAGAAUCAUUCACAAUGGGGGAAACCCUGAUGGUGCGACGCCGCGUGGGGGAAUGAAGGUCUUCGGAUUGUAAACCCCUGUCAUGUGGGAGCAAAUUAAAAAGAUCGUACCACAAGAGGAAGAGACGGCUAACUCUGUGCCAGCAGCCGCGGUAAUACAGAGGUCUCAAGCGUUGUUCGGAAUCACUGGGCGUAACGCGUGCGUAGGCUGUUUCGUAAGUCGUGUGUGAAAGGCGCGGGCUCAACCCGCGGACGGCACAUGAUACUGCGAGACUAGAGUAAUGGAGGGGGAACCGGAAUUCUCGGUGUAGCAGUGAAAUGCGUAGAUAUCGAGAGGAACACUCGUGGCGAAGGCGGGUUCCUGGACAUUAACUGACGCUGAGGCACGAAGGCCAGGGGAGCGAAAGGGAUUAGAUACCCGAGUAGUC